rnacentral:rRNA from 1 species
CAGUAGCCGCGGUAAUGCGUAGGUGGCAAGCGUUGUCCGGAGUUAUUGGGCGUAAAGGGCUCGCAGGCGGUUUCUUAAGUCUGAUGUGAAAGCCCCCGGCUCAACCGGGGAGGGUCAUUGGAAACUGGGAAACUUGAGUGCAGAAGAGGAGAGUGGAAUUCCACGUGUAGCGGUGAAAUGCGUAGAGACGUGGAGGAACACCAGUGGCGAAGGCGACUCUCUGGUCUGUAACUGACGCUGAGGAGCGAAAGCGUGGGGAGCGAACAGGAUUAGAUACCCCCGUAGUCCCUGUCUCUUAUAC